rnacentral:rRNA from 1 species
GACGAACGCUGGCGGCGUGCUUAACACAUGCAAGUCGAACGGAAAGGCCCUGCUUUUGUGGGGUGCUCGAGUGGCGAACGGGUGAGUAACAAGUGAGUAACCUGCCCUUGACUUUGGGAUAACUUCAGGAAACUGGGGCUAAUACCGGAUAGGAGCUCCUGCUGCAUGGUGGGGGGUGGAAAGGUUCGGCGGUUGGGGAUGGACGCGCGGCUUAUCAGCUUGUUGGUGGGGUAGUGGCUUACCAAGGCUUUGAGGGGUAGCCGGCCUGAGAGGGUGAACGGCCACAUGGGGACUGAGAUACGGCCCAGACUCCUACGGGGGGCAGCAGUGGGGAAUAUUGCACAAUGGGCGGAAGCCUGAUGCAGCAACGCCGCGUGCGGGAUGACGGCCUUCGGGUUGUAAACCGCUUUCGCCUGUGACGAAGCGUGAGUGACGGUAAUGGGUAAAGAAGCACCGGCUAACUACGUG